AACUGAAGAGUUUGAUCAUGGCUCAGAUUGAACGCUGGCGGCAGGCUUAACACAUGCAAGUCGAGCGGGGGAAGUAGCUUGCUACUGGACCUAGCGGCGGACGGGUGAGUAUGCUUAGGAAUCUGCCUAUAGUGGGGACACAUCUCGAAAGGGAUGCUAAUA
rnacentral:rRNA from 1 species